rnacentral:rRNA from 1 species
CUACGGGGGGCUGCAGUGGGGAAUAUUGCACAAUGGGCGCAAGCCUGAUGCAGCCAUGCCGCGUGUAUGAAGAAGGCCUUCGGGUUGUAAAGUACUUUCAGCGGGGAGGAAGGGAGUAAAGUUAAUACCUUUGCUCAUUGACGUUACCCGCAGAAGAAGCACCGGCUAACUCCGUGUCAGCAGCCGCGGUAAUACGGAGGGUGCAAGCGUUAAUCGGAAUUACUGGGCGUAAAGCGCACGCAGGCGGUUUGUUAAGUCAGAUGUGAAAUCCCCGGGCUCAACCUGGGGACUGCAUCUGAUACUGGCAAGCUUGAGUCUCGUAGAGGGGGGUAGAAUUCCAGGUGUAGCGGUGAAAUGCGUAGAGAUCUGGAGGAAUACCGGUGGCGAAGGCGGCCCCCUGGACGAAGACUGACGCUCAGGUGCGAAAGCGUGGGGAGCAAACAGGAUUAGAUACCCCCGUAGUC